rnacentral:rRNA from 1 species
AUGGAUGAAGGAAGAAAUUUAGCAACACUUUUCCCGCAAGAUCUCUUGCAAGAAGAAAAUAAUCUCCAAAUUUGACUUGUCAAUUUUAUUUCUCAUUUAAAUAGCAAGUUAACUCAAAGAAUUUAUCACACAAAUAAUCAAUUUGUUAGUACUUGCUUAAUAGUGAAUUGGGAACGAGAAGAAAAAGAAAAGACUGGUGCUUCCCUUGUUGAGGUAAGAGCAAAUGAUCUUAUUCGUGAUUUCCUUCCGAAUUCCCUCGUCGGUACAAUUGUGAUGAAAGACCGAGACUGCAUCGUCGUUGCAGCAAUCUUUAAUCUUGUUUUUGACAAGUAG